rnacentral:tRNA from 1 species
GCCUGGGUGGCUCAGUCGGUUGAGCGUCUGACUUUGGCUCAGAUCAUGAUCUCACAGCCGGUGAGUUCAAGCCCCGCGUCAGGCU